GAUGAAUCGAUGACGAGAACAGUAGGAUUUGUUUUUGUUUUACAGAGAGUCGGCAAAAGGUGGAAGCCGAUAACAAAGCAUUUCUGAAUAUCAUCUCCGAGAUGCGUAGCUGAAUUUAAAGUAAGCUAGGCCGGAAAGUCCACCGUUACAUAGGAACUCGUAUCAUAAAAUGGUACGUUGCAUUGAGAGCCGCAGCCGUUUAAGAUUUUUCGCUGCGGAAGUAGGGUGGUAACGCGAGCUAACUCGUCCCUAUA
rnacentral:ncRNA from 1 species